GAUGAACGCUGGCGGCGUGCUUAACACAUGCAAGUCGAACGGAACGCCUAUGACGGAGUUUUCGGACAACGGAUUAGGUUGUUUAGUGGCGGACGGGUGAGUAACGCGUGAGUAACCUGCCUUGGAGUGGGGAAUAACACAACGAAAGCUGUGCUAAUACCGCAUAAUGCAAUUGUAUCGCAUGGUACUGAUUGCCAAAGAUUUAUCGCUCUGAGAUGGACUCGCGUCUGAUUAGCUAGUAGGCGGGGUAACGGCCCACCUAGGCGACGAUCAGUAGCCGGACUGAGAGGUUGACCGGCCACAUUGGGACUGAGACACGGCCCAG
rnacentral:rRNA from 1 species